GGCGAUGACGGGCUCAUCCGACGGCGGAUGCGGCGUCGGGAUCCUGGGAGGCUUUCCUGGGGAGGAGGCUGUCAUCGCCCCAGGAGCACCGAGCAGCUCCUCACAGCACAGGAUGGAUUGCAGCAGCCUAACAAGAACACAUCGCUCUCAGGGCUGCAACCAAUAUGUGAGUCCAUUGGCAGCAGAUGUUAUUAAUGACGCCAAUACAUAUUUUCUUAUUAAUCUUCCAUACUAGGCUCGUGUCUAUCUGCAAAUGAUUAUCAUUCAUUUUCCUGACAAAUCUAUCAAGAUCAUUUAUUACUGUUCGGCAAAGGAUCUUCUUUUAAACAAAGAUUAAUAACAUUGCAUUUUAUCUGGCUGGCUGAGCCAAAGGAAAUGAAAUUAACAAUGAACCCUACAAACAUGUCAUCACUUUAAUUUACCGGAAAAUAUUUUAAAAUGUUAUUUAAAACAAUGUACGCUGCGGUGGGCACAGUUUAUUACAAAGGAAAGAAGUGAAACCACAUGCAUUUUAGCAGGGUGGAGAGUAAACAAACAGGGCACUAUGUUUUCUCUGGUUCCUCACACUCGAGUUCUGGGCCAAGGAAGGAGCAGCACCCACAGGCUUCCUGCCAUGCACAGAUGGGCACCUGCCCAGGUGAAUUGCAGCUGGAAGUCACUGUUUCUUGGUUAAAGUGGCUCCUACCCAGGAUCACAAGCUCUCAUCCCUGCAGGGAGCACUGCCUUCCCUGCAUUCCUAAAAAGGGGAACUUCACCAGGGUGAAGCUGGUGGGGAGAGGAGGGCACGUGGGCUGACAGAGUACCAGCACCCUUCUGCAUUUUUGGUCCCUUAGGAGGAAAAGAAACAAACUCAUUAAAUUUACAUGUUUUAGUUACCUUUCUUCUCACCCUCUUCUUACUGUCCCUUCCCUUCAUUUCAGCAAAAUAGUAAUAAUAAUAAUAAUAAUAAUAAUAAUAAUAAUAAUAAUAAUAAUAUAAUAAUACCAAAGUACCUAUCAGAAUCCCUUUCCUACUUUUACUGCAAAUAAUAAUGCAAAAACUUCAUAUCAGCUUUGCUUUUGCAUUACUUUAUUUGGACCCAUGAACCUAUAUUCUGAGCCCCGUUUUUGUGCAGAUGCUCACCAUUGUCUCUCCACAGGCCUUUUCCCAUAUGCCUGGCUCUGGGCUGUGUCACCUCUGGCAAUGGGAAAUUACUGCUCUUCCCUGCCGUGGGAGAAGGAGAAGGUUGCUUAAAACAAUUUUGAAUUACGCAGUCAAGAAGUGUUUCUGCUUAAGGUAAAAAAGUCAACUUCCUACCUUCAUUGGACUAAUUUUAUCUUACCCAGAUACCAGGUUGGGAACAGUGUUUUUAAACCCCAGACAAAGGAAAAUAACCUUGCCAACCUCACACUGGAGAAGUUUCAAAAUGCUGACAUAUUUCCAAGUGUGCAUUUGUGUAUUUCUGCAGAGCAGCAAAAGCACAUGUACUAAACUGGCUGGUUUAACCACAUAUCUCAUUGCUGCAUAACAAAGUAUCCUGGAUUUCUUUUGUAAUUAAAAAGUCAUCAGUGUAGCACAGGUCUUGAAAAAUUUAUGACAAAUAAGACAAACCUGAAUAUACCCCAAAGCAGGGUUUGGCUCCUCUGCAGAUUAAAAGGAAAUGAGUUAAUAAGAGAAGAAGGAUGCCCCUCUGUUAAAACUGGAGCUGUAUCUCCAGUGACUUUGGGGACACUCUGUAGUUUGAUUUGAGAGCUCAGGCUGCACAUGUCGAGGCCAUACAUACCAAAGCAGGACCAGACUCUGAACUUCUAAAAGGUCUAAUCUGCUACUUUUACCUGGCAUUUACUGGUAGAAUUUGUGAUGUUUGACUGAGCAAUAACCACAGUGCACGUGGCAGAACAUCUCUGUUUAUUUCUUUAUUAUGUUACCAGUUCAGCCACCUUCUUUUUAGAAUCAUUGUAAAUCCUGGCACAAAGACUGCAAGCUAAGAAGAAACGAGUUUCUGGCUAAGGUGUCCUAAAAGCUAAAUACUCAUUACAUGAAAGAAAAAAGGAUCUGCACCUUACUUCUGGUGUGACUGCAUUCUGCUCCAGCUUUCAGCUGCUGGAUUUCAUCAAGCCCCUUCUGUUCAUGAAGCACUUGUCUGUUAUGAACUUAACACCACAUAAAUAAAAAUCACAGACAGUGCAUGCAGAGAAAUAGGGCUUUAUAAUCAUGGAAAGGCAAAAAAGGGGAUAAAGCCAAAAGGAAGUGGCAAAGGACAAAAUGGAGUGAAUGCAAAAACCAAAUUCAAGCCUCUCCUCUCACAGUCCUCUACAUACAUUUAAUGAGGUACAUUUAUUUUCCUCAUUUCAGACUAAUGCCAGCAUAAUGUGGGAGGUCCCAUCCAACCUCCAGGAUUCCCCAAAGUCAGGGAUGAACAUUCUUUCUUUUAUUUUCCUUGAAGAGUAAGAGCGAUAUACAGUGUGCUGUGAGGGCAACACAAGGAGCAAGAGAUGAAAGUGAUUUUUUUUCAGCACAGGUAUAAUGUUGGUGUCACAGCAAUUUGAGAUUUCUGUACAACCUCCUCUGAAGCAGCUGAACAUGAGUGAAGAAGCCAGCUGCUGAGCUCCUGCCCCGACACUGUGUUGCUGUGGUGGCACUGGGCACUCUUCAGAGUCUGGUCAGAUCUAAAGUCCUUCAAGGGGAGAAGGGAAGGCUGUGGACUUCCAAUGGCUCUUUGAUUCCUGAUCUGGGAUCCUAUAUCAUACCUGAAGCCACCUUCAUGCCUUCCCUCCCUUUGUCUCAAAAGCAAUUUCCAACCCCCCUGUGUGUCCCUCUCCAUCACAGCACAGGGGGGAUGUGAUUUAAGCACGUGCCACCUGGCCACAGGCAGGCAUCAAGGUAUCCGUGUGCCAUUCCAGCACAGCCCAAGAUUCCAUCAGCAAAAGCUGGAAUACCAUGCACUGCAGUAUUACAGAUCAGCUGUCCAAGCAGGACCAGAUGGCACCACCAUGUCAAGGACAACACACAGUUAUUAAGUUGUCAGACUCUGAACCAAAGUCAGCCUGAGCUGCCGAGUUCGUGCCAUUUCUGUGCACAAUUCCCAGGAAUAAGCUGUCCCAAAAGACACUGCAGAAAGGCUCCUGGAGAGGACACUUGAACAACUCUCUGUGGGCCACAGGGUGUCCCCCGAGGAGCCCCAGUGCCACAGGAGCUGGGCUGACAGCACUUGGGAUUUUGUACUGGGAUGGGGAUCACCAGGGACAAUUCCCCUGCCACUCUCUGGUUUAGACGAACCCAGCAGGCUUUAUUUCUGAGUGUGUGUGGGAAGGACCAGAGUAACCAUUUUAAGAAACCUGUAAUUAUUGCUGCAUUUGUUCAAACCAGGAACAUGUUCAGAACGUUCAGCUGUGACUCGCUCCUGUAGUUCCACAAAUGCAGCGUUCAGUUUAAUAUGUGAGACUCAUAACCAGCUCACACAGUGCAAUAGUUCACUUCAGUUUGAAGAAAAAAAAAUUCUGCUGGAAGCACAGGCAAGUAGCAGUGUCAAUUUUUCAUUAACCUACAGCCACUGUCUCUGUAGACUUACAGCUAUAAGUAAGAUUACUGUUAUAAAUUCUUCUGGUCCCUAAGGGGGGGGGACAAAAAACUUCUCAAAACUUUUAAGGUCAUUAAAAAAAAAUCCACCUUUAAAUUGGAGAUAGUUUCAGUUUACUUUCAUAUUUCAAAAUCAAAUCUUAGCUUCAGCCUCACAUCAAAGCAGAAAUGUCAGUCGCUUUGUUUCUACAUCUCCUGUGAAAGAAGUUCCAGCUUAUACAUGAGCUGAAUGCCAAGUAAAUAGAUUUUCCUUGGGAACAAAGGCACCUCUUUUUUUUUUUUUGGUUUGUUUUAAACAUAUGUAAAUAGAGUCCCAGAAGCUGAGCUGCCUGUCACUUCAACCAGGUUUACACUCAUGUCACUCCAGCUGGUUAUUUCUGACCGCCCUUAGGUCACGACUGCAGAAGUUUCCCUCCCCACUCCUCCACACAGUCAUCUCCAGCAGCCACUCAUGCCCUUUCCUUCCAGUCCCACACCUCAGCAAAGGGGAAACAGAUUAAUAUGGAUUCUUUUUUUGCUAGUUCCUUAUUCUUUCGGCUUUGUUUGUAGUUUUUUUGGGUUUUGUUUUUAAACUCUCGUUACAGAAUCCCAGAAAUACUUUGGCCCUGUGAAUACUUUGGGCCUCUGUCACAGACACCAAGAUGGUUCUGAGAUCUCUUGGCAGAGCAGAGCAGGUACCUGGAUACCACCAGUAACCAGUUGGGGCUGUGCCUACACACCAGGUAUUUAUUAAAGACUGAUGGCACCUAUUGGUUCAUGGUCAAGAUUAUGGGGGAAGAAACAGGAAUGGAUUGGUAGAAAAAUGACUUUUUGUUGUUUUGGGUUUUUUUUUACAGGAGGGCACCAUCAGCCUUGAGAUUUCUCUUUUCAGUACCAGGCAUUUAAAGAGUGCAGAGUUAUUUUCCCCAAAGCCAGAGGACACCAAAGAGGAGUAUGAUCCCUUCCCAUGCCCAUCUUCUAUUUACAAAGAGAAGAAUGGAGCUGAGCUGAGCUGCAUUACAUCCAAUAUGCUGCCUACACAAAUGCCAGAGAAGCUAAAUGAACCCCAGAACAUAUGGCACUCUGCUGACAGAGCUCCGAAACUGGUUCUGCAUGAGCAACAAGGAACAUCUUGAAGCGCACAAGACAUAUGUGUUUUAGGAAGAAGAUUGAAGUGUUUCAUAAUAAAACAGGACAAAGUGAAAUACAAGUGCUGUAUAAAAUUUUAAUUAAAAACUGGUUUUACCCCUCAACGUGAAUAUACAAUAUGUUUCCCAGAUGGAUUUCAUAUUUAAGUAUUAUCCAAACCAAAAACAUAAAUGAGACAAAUAAAGCCUUCAGAAAUGGCACAGAGGCUAAAAUGUAUGUAAACACUAGAUGACUGUGGUGAAAACAAGGCAGGCAGGGAAAGCAACCUAUUAGCAAGUGUUUACUACUGGAGUACUGAAUGAAACAGUUCCUACAACUAUAGUCUUAGUACAACACAAUUAGCUAAACAUUCAAAAAUUCAAGUCAGUGUAACAACACAAAUACAAGCAGUAGAAUUCACCACCGUUCAGUGACGUAAAUGGUGCUUUUGUUACUCGUGAGUUUCACAGGUUAUUUUCUACACUGAUAAUUCGUGGUACAGAAAUGCAUAAUUCAUGGCAUACCAAGCAUCAAACACUCUCAGCAUCUCCCCUGCUCUCAGCCUCCCACCCCACUCUAUGUGAAGCUCUGUUCAGUCCAUGGCAUCAGCUCUACAGGGUUACCCAAACACCUUCUUAUGAACCAAGAGGGGGGAUGUUUUGCAACAGCAAACUUCUUUCCUUGAAGAGGUGAGAAGGUGGCUCAGAUCACCACUUCUCAGGCUGCAGAGAGUUCUCUCUGCUAGGUCAGAAGCAAUCACCCAGAACUGAAGGGAAAUGCACAUGAAGAAAAAGCACAAUCUCCACAUAGAUCAAGCAAAGAGAAAGAUUACAGUUCCUUUAUGUUGCCAUCCAGACAAAUUAUCACCACACUUCAGAGAAUUUCUCACUGAAGACAAACUGGGAACAAACUGCAUGUCUUUGGCAAGCCAACACUGAUAAAAGGAGCUACAGCCACAUCUUUUACGGGCUUUGGUUGAUGUUAUUUUGAAUUCCAUGGGGAAAGCAGCAGAAACCAAUGCAAUCAAGGAGGCUUGUGCCUAAUAGUUCACUGUGUAAUAGAAACAGGACUAUCAGGUGUUCUCAAUCACUUCUCACAAUGCUGGUUUAUUUGUUGAAACUGAAAGGAACUGGGCAAAGACCAGUUCUCUGCUGCUACCAGAGACCAUCAUUUAAGCCAGACAUCCCUCCUGUCAGUGAGGUAGCUCAUCAAGAUCAGCCACAGAAGUGCUGUUCUCUCUUAGCUUCAAGUGCUUUCACUGGAACCAAGAGGCUAAAUUUCAUUGAUUCAAAAGUUUUCUCAAAUUCCUUGAUUACUAAACAAAUCUCUUGAGAUAUUUUCAGCAUCCUGAUAAUGAACACCCCACAACUACUGAAGUAAUAACAUCAUGACUUUUCCUAUGACCCAGAGAUUCUAUAUUACCCAAUUUAUACAGUAAGUGACCAUUGCUAAAUGGCUGAGAAUUUCGUUGCAUAGUUCAGUUGUUUCAGAAAAGAUU